CUGCUUGUGUACGGGGCCCAGAAGGUUGUGCUACACACCCCUGCUUACGUUGACUGGUUCGUUGACGUUCUCUGGCGGUUGUGACUCAACUCAACGGCCGUUAACUCGAGCAGGGGACUCCUAACUGACUGGAUUGACUAAUAGCACACGUCUCUGCACCUCCCUCGCGUCACUCAUCGCUGUUGCUAACGCCCGUUGACCUGUGAUGGCAUGACGACCGCUCGAAGAGGAAUGCGCCGCUCACUCGCCCGACGUUUCGUGUUGAACUUGAUUCAAAAGAAAGAAAACUUCUUUAUCGUUUGAAAACGUUCGUUCGCUGCAAAGCAAGAGAGAAGCCUCUUGUAACUUGCUCAGCGCUCUGAUAGAGUGUGACUGGCCGUUCGUGAGGAGGAAUGUGAAAGACGGUUCGCUACUUACGGGCUCCAGCGCCGCUGCUCUUCUUCACGUAGUUGUCUCGGCGCGCGGCGUCGACGAGCUGCUGUUGCGUUCAGGGACACCUCGUCAACCGCUGGCCCCUGCUUGGCAAGUCGUCCGAGGAUGUGGACAAACGCAAUUCAUUGGCUUGUCGUGGUACUGAAGUGGCGCCGGGUUGAUUAUUCACGAACUAUAUAUGCGUGGUCUGUCACACGUGACGCGAAAAGACUUCCUUUAAAACAACAGCUUCUUGAAUUCAGAUUUGAGGAACUUGUAUUCUGUUCGUAAGAUACGCAAAGGCGUUCACUUUCUUACGUAACGUACGCAAAUGUCCUUCCCCAUCCAGUCCACAUUGGAGUAGGUGCAGAUCUCGGUCAAAAAGAAACAACUACAAAAAGACUUGGAAGAUCUGCAUAUCUGUAUUACUUUUCAGAUUUGUGAGUAAGACAAGAUAAGAUAUUCCUUUAUUCGUCCCACAAUGGGGGGAUGUGGUCGUUACAGCAGCACAGUGGACAGAAUAUAGAAGAAAUAGCAGAAUAGAAAGAAAUUUAAAUUUUUUUAUAGAAAACAGUAUGUAUGUACAAAAUAUAACAAAAUAUAAAAAUAUAAAUAAUAUGUACAGAGCACAAGCAAUAGUUGCACAUGGGGAAUAAAUAUAAAUAUUGUACAGUUUGUUAUUGCACCAUGGUUAUUUCACGGUGGUUGAGUACUUCAAUGUAUUUAUGAAAGCGCAAAAAAAUAGAUUUUACUGCUUUACAGUAUUUUCAUCAAAAUGUCCCUUUACGUCCAGAAAUCCAUUAAAGAACACCAUCCAUCCAUCCAUCGAUGACUUUCAAGAUUGUGAGGGGGCUGAAGCUAAUCUCAGCUGACGUUGGCGGAGAGACGGGUUCCACAAGUCUGUGUCCCUCGUUUUUUGAUUCCCAUAAGGAUCUCAUCUUUUUCAAAAGUAGUUUUUUUACAUUUUGAAAUGCAGUCAAGUCUCAACAUCUUUAUAGAUUGAAUAUGGUCCAUGUACUCGUUAUAUUCUAACGGGCCUCUCGCUGCUUCUUUAAUGGUCAGUUUCUGUCCGUCUGCCACUUUUUGUCCUAUUGGCCUUUGCCAGUCACCUGAUCCUCACUGUUCCAUUAUCCCAUGAGUAUUUACUGUAUGUAUUUUAUGCCUCCAAGUUGUAGCGUUACAGCCUUUUUGUUUGCCUCUGAGUGACUGCCAGCAUGCUCAUUUUGAACUAAAGCUAGUUUAGUAAAUGUUUUAACCCUGUCUGUUGAAUCCUGUGUUGUGCCUGCCGACAAAGUGAAUCCUCUCAAUGUCACUAUUGUUUUAUAACGCUGCGUCCUUAUAUAACUACUGCUAUUACUAUGAGUUCAAGUAUGUAUGCAGUCCUUAGCUGCUACGGGACCUCAUUCUUAUUUCUUACUUUCAUCCCCUUUCCACUCUGUACAUUUACUUCCCUUACUUUUUCCUUGCAUGUUCAUCCUUCCUACCUCCCUUUGUUCAACUUUCCUUCUACUCUUCUCUUUUUUUAUGUGUCCUUUCUGUUAUAGAAAAGACACUAGUAAUACAGAGUGCAUCAAAUUUUUUUCACAAUGUACCAGACACUUGACUUUCUGAAAACACCAAAAGAAACACACAAAAAAACAGUGAAAUCUCCCUUUUUUCUGUUUUCACAAAUGGAAUAAAGGACCAACAAAAGUUAAAUGAGGUAAAGGUUAAAUCUAGUCCACAUUUGAAAAGUCUAAGAAUUGUGGCUUUUGAUCUGGACCUGGUCUGAUGUGGUCUUGAUGUGAAACAGCUGUAAAAUAUCACCUUUUUUUUGCAUUUGCACAAAUAGAAUAAAUGUUUCACAUAUCUGAGAUAGAUUUAACAAGUGUAAGUGCAGCAGAUGUGGUUUAGACUUGGUCGAAUUUCGUCUAAAUGGUGUCAAAUAAAUAAAUAAAUAAAUCUGUGACCA